rnacentral:lncRNA from 1 species
GCCAGCCUUAAAUAUAGGAAAAAAAAUAGGUAAUAGAUUAAAGAUUUUGUAAGAGUCGAAUGUUGGCAAAAUAUAUUUCUAUUGGCUGAUCAUAGCAUCCCAAAUAAGCAGAAAUAAGAAAUUGUCUGCAAGACUACUGUUAAGAUUUGUGCAUGUUUUCUGGGAGGAUGAACACUGGAACUAGCAGAACUGCAUUGCAUUCUGAUCAAGUAAUUAGCUAUUUCCGUAUUGAAACGAUGGAUCAAAAAAAGGAAGAUCUGUCUCAGAAUUAG